UUCAUAGUGGCCUAAUGGAUAAGGCACUGUACCCCUAAGGCAGUGAUUGUGGGUUCGAGUCCCAUCUGGGAUG
rnacentral:tRNA from 1 species